AAACAAAGACAAAAAACACCGCGCCCCUACACUAUUCAAGAAUUGCUAUUGCAUGCUUCGCUUGCUAGAGAAGUGUCACCACAGUCGAAUUACAGAAGACAUGGGCUCGCUGAAACAAACUGGGGAUUGCAGGUGCAGAGCUGGUGAAGGUUUGAUUAGAUCCCGAAGCUAUAAACUGGAGAUUGACAGUUCCCAAUCCUGAGUACUCCAGGACGUGCCAGAAGAGGAUGCAAGAGAUCUUUCUCCGCUUAAUGUGAGCAGAAGGAACCUCAUUGCCUUGUGUGUAAAGGAACUCAACCUCUCCAAACAAAGUACCCCCAAUGUUGUCCACCCCAGGUGACAAUGGGAUCAGAUCUGGGAUUCUCCAGCAGAGGGCCUCCCUCAUUUUCUUCUCUGCCUGUCCACCAACUGUGGACCCCAGUCCUCUGUUCUUCUGGAAGUGGAGAGCUAACAACAGUUGAGUUCUCUGCCACCCUCCUGUAAAUUGGAGGCUGUUUCCUCGCAAGCUCCACCUGAGAAGGAAGGACGACACUUUUCCAGCUGAGUGCUUGUUAGGGACACUCAAGUGCGAACUCACGGGGUGGGGGAAGAAUCAAAGCAACACUGAGUGGAAUGACGUGGGGGCUGGCUGAACUUUUAUACAAGUGUUUGCUUUGAAGCGUGGUCAGGGGUAAAAAUAAUUAAUCGUGUGAUGCAUGAUGGCGGCCACAUCCUUCUUGUAGACUGUUGUGCCCAAGCAGCAUGAAGCGAGAUGCCUUUUGCAGUUGUAUCAGAAGAAUCGGACAUAGACUCAAAAGUGAGGCAAUUAUUACUAUACAGUAUAAAUUAAUAUACAACUGAACUUCUUAGAAAUUUAAUGCAAUCCUCAUUUCAGAGACCUUUGCUCAUUAUAGUUGUGACAAGAAGAAGAGAAAGCAAAUAGGAGUUUUCCAGUUUUUUCACAGCUAUUUGUGUGUUUUGGCAACAACAAUGAAUGCUCUGUCUUUCCAAAUAGCUUUAGUCAGAGGAAAAGCAUAUUCUUUUCUCCAGAUUAAAAGAAAAACAUGGCAGGGUAAAACCUCACCAGAGCUGUUAUACUUGUGAAAUCCCUGUUACCUUCAUCCUUUUCAAUUCCUCAGAGAGAAAUUCUAAAUAUAUAAAGAAGAAUAAGGACAUUUGCAGUUCUGCCACUGAUUCCAAAUCUGUUAAGACAGUGUAG
rnacentral:lncRNA from 1 species